rnacentral:tRNA from 1 species
GGGAAAUUAGCUCAAGUGGUAGAGCGCUCGCUUUGCAUGUAAGAGGCAGCGGGAUCGAGGCCCGCGUUCUCCA